CUGGAAUUUACCAUGCAAGAAGCUGUGCAAUGUUUACAUGCUCUAGAAGAAUACUGUCCUUCUAAAGAUGACUAUAGUAAGCUCUGUUUGCUUUUGACUUUGCCUCGUCUGACCAAUCAUGCCGAGUUUAAGGACUGGAAUCCCAGCACCGCACGAGUUCACUGUUUUGAAGAGGCUUGUGUCAUGGUUGCAGAAUUCAUCCCUGCUGAUAGGAAGCUAAGUGAAGCUGGUUUUAAGGCUAGUAACAAUCGUUUAUUUCAGCUUGUAAUGAAAGGCCUGCUUUAUGAAUGCUGUGUAGAAUUUUGUCAGAGUAAAGCAACUGGAGAAGAAAUUACAGAAAGCGAAGUGCUUCUUGGCAUCGACCUCUUAUGUGGUAAUGGUUGUGAUGAUUUGGAUCUGAGUUUACUGUCAUGGCUUCAGAAUCUUCCAUCUUCUGUCUUCUCUUGUGCUUUUGAACAGAAAAUGCUUAAUAUUCAUGUUGACAAACUUCUGAAACCUACAAAAGCUGCAUAUGCUGAUCUUUUGACUCCUCUUAUCAGCAAACUCUCUCCCUAUCCAUCAUCCCCAAUGAGAAGACCUCAAUCAGCUGAUGCCUAUAUGACCCGCUCUCUGAAUCCUGCUUUAGAUGGCCUCACCUGUGGACUAACCAGUCAUGAUAAGAGAAUUUCAGACCUUGGAAACAAAACUUCUCCAAUGUCACACUCCUUUGCUAACUUCCAUUAUCCAGGGGUACAAAACCUCAGUAGAAGUCUCAUGCUUGAGAAUACAGAAUGUCACAGUAUUUACGAAGAAUCCCCUGAGCGAAGUGAUACACCUGUUGAUGCACAGAGGCCUAUCGGCAGUGAAAUCUUGGGCCAGAGUUCAGUUUCAGAAAAAGAGCCUGCAAAUGGAGCACAGAAUCCAGGACCAGCUAAACAAGAAAAAAAUGAGCUUCGAGAUUCAACAGAACAAUUUCAAGAAUAUUAUAGGCAAAGAUUACGCUAUCAACAGCAUUUAGAACAGAAGGAGCAACAGCGGCAGAUAUACCAACAGAUGUUGCUUGAAGGAGGCGUGAAUCAGGAGGAUGGUCCUGAUCAGCAGCAGAAUCUUACUGAACAGUUCCUUAAUAG
rnacentral:circRNA from 1 species